AACGCGAAGAACCUUACCUGGGUUUGACAUCCCCGGACAGCCCUAGAGAUAGGGUUUCCUCUUCGGAGGCCGGGAGACAGGUGCUGCAUGGCUGUCGUCAGCUCGUAUCGUGAGAUGUCGGGUUAAGUCCCUUAACGAGCGCAACCCUUGUCCCUAGUUGCCAUCAUUUAGUUGGGCACCCUAGGGAGACCGCCGGUGUUAAACCGGAGGAAGGUGGGGAUGACGUCAAGUCCUCAUGGCCUUUAUGUCCAGGGCUACACACGUGCUACAAUGGCCGGUACAAAGGGAUGCCAACCCGCGAGGGGGAGCUAACCUCAAAAAGCCGGUCUCAGUUCGGAUUGAAGUCUGCAAUUCGACUUCAUGAAGCUGGAAUCGCUAGUAAUCGCGGAUCAGAACGCUGCGGUGAAUACGUUCCCGGGCCUUGUACACACCGACGCAC
rnacentral:rRNA from 1 species